GUGCUCGCUUCAGGGGCAUAUUUACCAAAUUUGGAAUGAUACAGAGAAGAUUAGCGUGGCCCCUGCACAAGGAUGACACCCCAAUUUGUGAAGUGUUCUGUAUCUUU